rnacentral:rRNA from 1 species
UACGAAGGGGGCUAGCGUUGCUCGGAAUCACUGGGCGUAAAGCGCACGUAGGCGGGUCGUUAAGUCGGGGGUGAAAUCCUGGAGCUCAACUCCAGAACUGCCUUCGAUACUGGCGAUCUUGAGUCUGGGAGAGGUGAGUGGAACUCCGAGUGUAGAGGUGAAAUUCGUAGAUAUUCGGAAGAACACCAGUGGCGAAGGCGGCUCUCUAGUACGGUACUGACGCUGAGACGCGAAAGCGUGGGGAGCAAACAGG